AUCGCUUCUCAGCCCUUUGGCUAAGAUCAAGUGUAGUAUCUGUUCUUGUCAGUUUAGUAUCUGUUACAUCCUCUAUCUGAGGACUAUGUACCAAAUGGAUUUUUGGAAUAGGGAGAUGGAAUAGGAGCUUUCUCUGUUCACUCCAUGCAUCGACCUGGUAUUUCAAUAUUUCCAGGAAUGGUGCACCUUUC
rnacentral:snRNA from 1 species